rnacentral:rRNA from 1 species
AUUGAACGCUGGCGGCAGGCCUAACACAUGCAAGUCGAACGGUAACAGGAAGCAGCCUGCUGCUUUGCUGACGAGUGGCGGACGGGUGAGUAAUGUCUGGGAAACUGCCCGAUGGAGGGGGAUAACUACUGGAAACGGUAGCUAAUACCGCAUAACGUCGCAAGACCAAAGAGGGGGACCUUAGGGCCUCUUGCCAUCGGAUGUGCCCCGAUGGGAUUAGCUAGUAGGUGGGGUAACGGCUCACCUAGGCGACGCUCCCUAGCUGGUCUGAGAGGAUGACCAGCCACACUGGAACUGAGACACGGUCCAGACUCCUACGGGAGGCAGCAGUGGGGAAUAUUGCACAAUGGGCGCAAGCCUGAUGCAGCCAUGCCGCGUGUAUGAAGAAGGCCUUCGGGUUGUAAAGUACUUUCAGCGGGGAGGAAGGGAGUAAAGUUAAUACCUUUGCUCAUUGACGUUACCCGCAGAAGAAGCACCGGCUAACUCCGUG